CUUAAAAAUAUACAUCUUUAAAAAAAUUUAGAUCGUGAGAAUUACGAAAAUAAUUUAGGGAACGUUACGAUAAAGUUAACCGAGGAAUACGCCUAAAGAGUUUGAGAAUUGAAUUUGAAAAAAAAAAGGAACAUAAUCAAUCUCAAGUUUCGCAACAUUUGAAUCGAUAGUCGAAGAUAACGGACAAUGCCACAAAAAAUUAUGUAUGCCACUAUUGCGGUAAGCAAUAUAUCGACUUGAGUAGUUUGACGCGACAUAUUGAAAAGAUCCAUACAAGAGAGAGAGUAGAUAAUCCAUAUAUAGAAAAUACAAGUGUAACCUGUGUGAAAAUGUGUAGAAAAUACAAGUGUAACCAGUGUGGCAAAGAUUUCAGAACUCGUUUUGUUUUGUAUUAUCAUAAAAGAACAAAACAUGGAUCGUUUAAUUGUGACCAAUGUUUAGCUACAUUUACUCAAUAUAAGUUCUUAAAACAGCACAUACGAGAAACACAUUAUGUUUGCGAAAAACCUUAUGUUUGCGAGAUAUGCCGCAAAAGCUUUAGAUAUAGAAGUGAACUAAACGAUCACCGACUUGUACAUAGCGAUGAAAAACCACAUAAGGAUGUGUGACAAGACCUACAAGCGAAAACGAGAUCUUAAUAAACACAUUAAU